UGGGGAAUUUUGGACAAUGGGCGAAAGCCUGAUCCAGCAAUGCCGCGUGUGUGAAGAAGGCCUUCGGGUUGUAAAGCACUUUUGUCCGGAAAGAAAUCCUUGGCUCUAAUACAGUCGGGGGAUGACGGUACCGGAAGAAUAAGCACCGGCUAACUACGUGCCAGCAGCCGCGGUAAUACGUAGGGUGCAAGCGUUAAUCGGAAUUACUGGGCGUAAAGCGUGCGCAGGCGUUUGCUAAGACCGAUGUGAAAUCCCCGGGCUCAACCUGGGAACUGCAUUGGUGACUGGCAGGCUAGAGUAUGGCAGAGGGGGGUAGAAUUCCACGUGUAGCAGUGAAAUGCGUAGAGAUGUGGAGGAAUACCGAUGGCGAAGGCAGCCCCCUGGGCCAAAUACUGACGCUCAUGCACGAAAGCGUGGGGGAGCAAACAGGAUUCAGAUACCCUGGUAGUCCACGCCCUAAACGAUGUCAACUAGUUGUUGGGGAUUCAUUUCCUUAGUAACGUAGCUAACG
rnacentral:rRNA from 1 species